rnacentral:rRNA from 1 species
ACAUGGGGUGCAAGCGUUGUCCGGAAUUAUUGGGCGUAAAGAGCUCGUAGGUGGUUCGUCACGUCGGAUGUGAAACUCUGGGGCUUAACCCCAGACCUGCAUUCGAUACGGGCGAGCUUGAGUAUGGUAGGGGAGUCUGGAAUUCCUGGUGUAGCGGUGGAAUGCGCAGAUAUCAGGAGGAACACCAAUGGCGAAGGCAGGUCUCUGUGCCAAUACUGACACUGAGGAGCGAAAGUCUGGGGAGCGAACAGGAUUAGAUACCCUGGUAGUCCAGACCGUAAACGGUGGGCACUAGUUGUGGGAACCUUCCACGGUUUCUGCGACGCAGCUAACGCAUUAAGUGCCCCGCCUGGGGAGUACGAUCGCAAGAUUA